ensembl:lncRNA
GCAGGGUUAAGCGAUAAAUUUAAAUUCCUACACAAAGCCACUCCUUCAAGACUGGGAGAGUACAAAGAAGGCAGAAGAAGUCACUAGGACAAGUCAGCAAUUCUGCAGCAUUUGAUGCAGGUUGUAGUGACUCCACGAGGUGGAUUCUUUACCCACUGAGCCACCUGGGAAGCUUCAAUCCGGAUCACUGCUGCUGCUGCUGCUGUGUCGCUUCAGUCAUGUCCGACUCUGUGUGACCCCAUAGACAUCAGCCAACCAGGCUUCCUGUCCCUGGGAUUCUCCAGGCAAGAACACUGGAAUGGGUUGCCAUUGCCUUCUCCGAUCUGGAUCACAACUGUAGCUCUCCAGGCUCCUCUGUCCAUGGCAUUCUCCAGGCAAGAAUACUGGGGUGGGUUGGAUGUCCUCCUCCAGAGGAUCUUCCAGACCCAGGGAUGGAACCGGUGUCUCUUGUGUCUCUUCCAUUGACAGGAGCCAAAAACUGGCUGAAUGAGGCAUCACCUCCCCUUUUAUUGCCAAAAACAGGACAUAUAAAUGUCUCCACCCAAACUUCUAGAAUGCAUUGGCUAAGAUGGCCACGGAUCAUCUGGUAAAUAAAGGAGAGGUCUUUUCU